GAUGAACGCUGGCGGCGUGCCUAACACAUGCAAGUCGAGCGAACCUUUCGGGGUGAGCGGCGGACGGGUGAGUAACGCGUGGGUAACCUGCCCUAUACACACGGAUAACGUACCGAAAGGUACGCUAAUACGGGAUAAAGUUGUUGGAUGGCAUCUUCUAACAAUCAAAGCUCUGGCGGUAUAGGAUGGACCCGCGUCUGAUUAGCUAGUUGGUGAGGUAAUGGCUCACCAAGGCGACGAUCAGUAGCCGACCUGAGAGGGUGAUCGGCCACACUGGAACUGAGACACGGUCCAGACUCCUACGGGAGGCAGCAGUGGGGAAUAUUGCACAAUGGGCGAAAGCCUGAUGCAGCGACGCCGCGUGAGCGAUGAAGGUCUUCGGAUCGUAAAGCUCUGUCCUCAAGGAAGAUAAUGACGGUACUUGAGGAGGAAGCCCCGGCUAACUACGUGCCAGCCGCCGCAGUAA
rnacentral:rRNA from 1 species